rnacentral:rRNA from 1 species
UUAGAGUUUGAUCCUGGCUCAGAUUGAACGCUGGCGGCAGGCCUAACACAUGCAAGUCGAGCGGUAGCACAGAGAGCUUGCUCUCGGGUGACGAGCGGCGGACGGGUGAGUAAUGUCUGGGAAACUGCCUGAUGGAGGGGGAUAACUACUGGAAACGGUAGCUAAUACCGCAUAACGUCGCAAGACCAAAGUGGGGGACCUUCGGGCCUCAUGCCAUCAGAUGUGCCCAGAUGGGAUUAGCUGGUAGGUGGGGUAACGGCUCACCUAGGCGACGAUCCCUAGCUGGUCUGAGAGGAUGACCAGCCACACUGGAACUGAGACACGGUCCAGACUCCUACGGGAGGCAGCAGUGGGGAAUAUUGCACAAUGGGCGCAAGCCUGAUGCAGCCAUGCCGCGUGUGUGAAGAAGGCCUUCGGGUUGUAAAGCACUUUCAGCGGGGAGGAAGGCGGUGAGGUUAAUAACCUCAUCGAUUGACGUUACCCGCAGAAGAAGCACCGGCUAACUCCGUGCCAGCAGCCGCGGUAAUACGGAGGGUGCAAGCGUUAAUCGGAAUUACUGGGCGUAAAGCGCACGCAGGCGGUCUGUCAAGUCGGAUGUGAAAUCCCCGGGCUCAACCUGGGAACUGCAUUCGAAACUGGCAGGCUAGAGUCUUGUAGAGGGGGGUAGAAUUCCAGGUGUAGCGGUGAAAUGCGUAGAGAUCUGGAGGAAUACCGGUGGCGAAGGCGGCCCCCUGGACAAAGACUGACGCUCAGGUGCGAAAGCGUGGGGAGCAAACAGGAUUAGAUACCCUGGUAGUCCACGCUGUAAACGAUGUCGAUUUGGAGGUUGUGCCCUUGAGGCGUGGCUUCCGGAGCUAACGCGUUAAAUCGACCGCCUGGGGAGUACGGCCGCAAGGUUAAAACUCAAAUGAAUUGACGGGGGCCCGCACAAGCGGUGGAGCAUGUGGUUUAAUUCGAUGCAACGCGAAGAACCUUACCUGGUCUUGACAUCCACAGAACUUUCCAGAGAUGGAUUGGUGCCUUCGGGAACUGUGAGACAGGUGCUGCAUGGCUGUCGUCAGCUCGUGUUGUGAAAUGUUGGGUUAAGUCCCGCAACGAGCGCAACCCUUAUCCUUUGUUGCCAGCGGUCCGGCCGGGAACUCAAAGGAGACUGCCAGUGAUAAACUGGAGGAAGGUGGGGAUGACGUCAAGUCAUCAUGGCCCUUACGACCAGGGCUACACACGUGCUACAAUGGCAUAUACAAAGAGAAGCGACCUCGCGAGAGCAAGCGGACCUCAUAAAGUAUGUCGUAGUCCGGAUUGGAGUCUGCAACUCGACUCCGUGAAGUCGGAAUCGCUAGUAAUCGUAGAUCAGAAUGCUACGGUGAAUACGUUCCCGGGCCUUGUACACACCGCCCGUCACACCAUGGGAGUGGGUUGCAAAAGAAGUAGGUAGCUUAACCUUCGGGAGGGCGCUUACCACUUUGUGAUUCAUGACUGGGGUGAAGUCGUAACAAGGUAACCG